GUCAUAUGCUUGUCUCAAAGAUUAAGCCAUGCAUGUCUCAGUACAAGCCAAAUUAAGGUGAAACCGCGAAAGGCUCAUUAAAUCAGUUAUGGUUCCUUAGAUCGUACCCACAAUUACUUGGAUAACUGUGGUAAUUCUAGAGCUAAUACAUGCAAACAGAGCUCCGACCGGAGACGGGAGGAGUGCUUUUAUUAGAUCAAAACCAAUCGGUGGCGGGUUCGCGCUCGUCAUCGUACAACUUGGUGACUCUGAAUAACUUUACGCUGAUCGCACGGUCAUCGCACCGGCGACGCAUCUUUCAAAUGUCUGCCUUAUCAACUGUCGAUGGUAGGUUCUGCGCCUACCAUGGUUGUAACGGGUAACGGGGAAUCAGGGUUCGAUUCCGGAGAGGGAGCCUGAGAAACGGCUACCACAUCCAAGGAAGGCAGCAGGCGCGCAAAUUACCCACUCCCGGCACGGGGAGGUAGUGACGAAAAAUAACGAUACGGGACUCAUCCGAGGCCCCGUAAUCGGAAUGAGUACACUCUAAACCCUUUAACGAGGAUCAAUUGGAGGGCAAGUCUGGUGCCAGCAGCCGCGGUAAUUCCAGCUCCAAUAGCGUAUAUUAAAGUUGUUGCGGUUAAAAAGCUCGUAGUCGAAUUUGUGUCUCGCGCCGCCGGUUCAUCGUCCGCGGUGUUAACUGGCGAGUCGCGAGACGUCCUGCCGGUGGGCUUAGCUCGCGAGGGCGGCCCAACUCAAUCCUGCCGCGGUGCUCUUCAUUGAGUGUCGAGGUGGGCCGGCACGUUUACUUUGAACAAAUUAGAGUGCUUAAAGCAGGCUAAAAUUUCGCCUGAAUACUGUGUGCAUGGAAUAAUGGAAUAGGACCUCGGUUCUAUUUUGUUGGUUUUCGGAACCCCGAGGUAAUGAUUAAUAGGAACGGAUGGGGGCAUUCGUAUUGCGACGUUAGAGGUGAAAUUCUUGGAUCGUCGC
rnacentral:rRNA from 2 species